rnacentral:lncRNA from 1 species
UAGAAGUUCUACAAGUCCAUGUGGCACAUCCAAGAGUCCAAACAGAGAGUGGGAAGGAAAAUCAGUCGCCUAUAUGCCUUAUGCUGAGGUCAAACGUGCUCUAGAACAGGAAGCACAGAUGCACAAUACUGCAGCAAGGUCAGCCUCACCGUGUAGGCUUUCUCCAAGAGAAGUCAGUAAAGCCGCUCCACAGCCUGAUAUGAGUGCAGCCCGCUAUAGUGUCCCGCCAGUCCUUCAGCCUGCUCCACAUCAAGUGAUAACUAAUCUCCCUGAA